UACGUAGGGUGCAAGCGUUAAUCGGAAUUACUGGGCGUAAAGCGUGCGCAGGCGGUGAUGUAAGACAGAUGUGAAAUCCCCGGGCUCAACCUGGGAACUGCAUUUGUGACUGCAUCGCUAGAGUACGGCAGAGGGGGAUGGAAUUCCGCGUGUAGCAGUGAAAUGCGUAGAUAUGCGGAGGAACACCGAUGGUGAAGGCAAUCCCCUGGGCCUGUACUGACGCUCAUGCACGAAAGCGUGGGGAGCAAACAGG
rnacentral:rRNA from 1 species